rnacentral:rRNA from 1 species
UACGGGGGGAGCAAGCGUUGUUCGGAUUUACUGGGCGUAAAGGGCGCGUAGGCGGCCACCGCAAGUCGGGUGUGAAAUCCCCAGGCUUAACCUGGGAACUGCAUUCGAGACUGCAUUGCUAGAGUAUGGGAGAGGGAAGUGGAAUUUCCGGUGUAGCGGUGAAAUGCGUAGAUAUCGGAAGGAACAUCAGUGGCGAAAGCGACUUCCUGGACCAAUACUGACGCUCAUGUGCGAAAGCGUGGGGAGCAAACAGG